rnacentral:rRNA from 1 species
CUACGGAGGAUCCGAGCGUUAUCCGGAUUUAUUGGGUUUAAAGGGUGCGCAGGCGGCCAUUUAAGUCAGCGGUUAAAUCGUGGGGCUCAACCCCAUUCUGCCGUUGAUACUGGGUGGCUUGAUUGCGGUCGAGGUUGGCGGAAUUCGUUGUGUAGCGGGGAAAUGCAUAGAUAUGACGAAGAACACCGAUUGCGUAGGCAGCUGACCAGACCGCAAAUGACGCUCAUGCACGAAAGUGCGGGGAUCGAACAGGAUUAGAUACCCUGGUAGUCCGCACAGUAAACGAUGAAUACUUGUUUUCGGCGAUAUAAUGUCGGAGGCAAAGCGAAAGCGAUAAGUAUUCCACCUGGGGAGUACGCCGGCAACGGUGAAACUCAAAGGAAUGGACGGGG